rnacentral:lncRNA from 1 species
CUAUGAGAUUACAGACAAAAGGUUGUCAAGUCUUAGAAGAACAGAAAGAAAAAGAAACUUCACUCAAGUACUUCAAUAUCCAAGUGUAUUGUAAAGAAGAAGGAAUCAAGCAAUUGAACACUGAGGUACCAGGCGAAGGAACCUAAGCAAGCCAGGGGAAGGAGGCUGUGUUUCACUACAGAAUUUGAAACCAGAUCCCAGAUGUCCUAGAACACAGCAAAGUCUCAAAGAGGAAGACGUCAUAAUGGGAAUAGAGGUUACAAACCUCAAGUUCAUCUUUCAACUUCCUCAGUUGUGGCCUUCUCGAGACUCCAGCUGAAUCCCUGGCCAAGGAAUCACUUGCUGGAAGUGUCAAGCAAAUAGCAACAUGGACCUCCAGAGUCUGAGGACCCCUGCCUCCCCGAUACUUGGAUGCGACACCAUAUGAUAAGUACAGGAUGGGACAUGGUAGGGUGAUGCUCCCUUCAUGGGGAGAACCAAGAGUACCUUUGUGUUGUUAAUUUUCACAUGGGAUGGAAACAUGAGCAGGACCCAGGCCGUCAGAUUUGCCUCCCGUCAUCUUUCCACUAACUGCCCAAAAUCACAAGUGAAUUUCUACAUACGGAGCCAUGAACUUAUAGCUGAUACAUUAUAUUCUUUCAUAGCUUGUUGGAAGUGGCAGAAAUGCAAUAAGUAAUUGCUUGUCAUUGCUUCACAUCUAGCCACCACAAUGAAUGACUACAAUACAUCAUCUAGAGCCCGGCAUGUUGCAAGCCCUCAAUUACAGACACAAUUGUCAUGACAUACUGACAGCCCAUCAACCAAAAGAGGCAAAGCUAUCUUUCUUUCCUUGAACAGCCUAACUAAAGUUUAUGGAACUACUUUCAGUUACUUAUGAAAUUAAUUUGCAUCUACCUCACUUAUUCAUUCUACUUUUAAUUGACAAAUAAAAAUUACAUAUGCUAUCUAUUCAUGGGACCCAAAGUAAUGCUGACAUCAUGCCUAUUUUAUUAAAUGUAAGCCAGACAUGAUUAUCAUAAAAAACACAUCUGGAAGAUAACCAAAUGCUUACGCUGAUCUUUCUGUAGUAGGAUUGUAUCUUUUCACCAGAGAA